UGGGGAAUAUUGGACAAUGGGCGCAAGCCUGAUCCAGCCAUGCCGCGUGAGUGAUGAAGGCCCUAGGGUUGUAAAGCUCUUUCACCGGUGAAGAUAAUGACGGUAAUCGGAGAAGAAGCCCCGGCUAACCUCGUGCCAGCAGCCGCGGUAAUACGAAGGGGGCUAGCGUUGUUCGGAUUUACUGGGCGUAAAGCGCACGUAGGCGGACUUUUAAGUCAGGGGUGAAAUCCCGGGGCUCAACCCCGGAACUGCCUUUGAUACUGGAAGUCUUGAGUAUGGUAGAGGUGAGUGGAAUUCCGAGUGUAGAGGUGAAAUUCGUAGAUAUUCGGAGGAACACCAGUGGCGAAGGCGGCUCACUGGACCAUUACUGACGCUGAGGUGCGAAAGCGUGGGGAGCAAACAGG
rnacentral:rRNA from 1 species